AGUUUGAGGGCCCAUGGGAGCCAUCGUUGGAUCCCCUCACAGUGCAGGUAAUUUUUUGGGUAUAUGUGUUUCCGUAUUAGUAUAUAUACUCUUCUUGGUACUGGUUCUGUUACUCGGGCCGUUGGGCGUAAUAGUUAACAGCUGCUUAAUGUGUCGACUUAAGCUACGACUCAGAGUGCGACCGAAGGAUAUGACGCUACAUAUUCUGGUCGUAUGUUAAGUCGUGUGGUAAGGCAUUCUGGCAAUUGGUUUCUUGGCCAACAACUCGUAGAAAAGAGCGAAACAAUCGCACCGCCAUGAUGUUUCUUGCCCAUUUCCUCCACCGAGGUCCCCUCCCGUCUCCUCCUCGCCGCCUCCCUCUCCUCUUCGUCUCUUGUUCUUCCUCUCUUGCCGUAGCGGCAGCGAUCGAAGACCACGAAGACGUAGCGGCGGCAUCAGUGAAGAGGACGAGAAGGGCCUCAAGAACCUCGGAAACUCUUGCUACCUCAACAGCGUCACCGACACCCCGCCCCUCGCCCAGUUCUACCUCUCCUCUCGGCGCUCGUCUCUCUGAAAGUCGUCGUUCGAGAAUCGAGAGAAGGAGUGCGCCUUCUGCAUCCUCGAGCGGCAGAUCGCUCGAUCCCUCAGCCUUGAUGGGCCACUCGGCGCGCCGUCCAAGAUUCACAAGUGCCUCGCCAGCUUCGCUGAGCACUUCCGGUGGCGCCGUCAGGAGGACACCCACGAGUUCCUCCGCUACGUUAUCGGCUCCUGCUGCCACAACGUUUGCCUCAAGACCCACAAGCGAAGCAUCAGCGGUGGUAACCCUAAAGCGGAGGAGCGCUCAUGGUCCAGCACCGUUGAUGAAGGAGAUCUUCGGGGGGGCCCUGCUCAGCCAGGUGAAGUACCUCCCGUGCAAGGCUGCCCUCGCUCGAUUCUUUCAGCCUCAAGUACAGCAACCAGCCGUAAGAAACUCUCUGUAGCCAGAAAGCAGAUGUUUAUACACGAGCACCCAAUGUGCUUGUCAUACAGCUCAAGAGAUUUGAAGGCACGCAUGGUGCAAAAAUUAACCGGAGAAUCGAAUUUAAUGGAGUUCCUGGGCUAUCAAAGUUCAUGUGUAAUAUGAAUAAGCUUGUUGGAAGGACAUCGGCACACAUCACACAACAUGAGUUGGAGGUGUCAGCAUAUGAUUGGACUAAAUUUUGGCCCGUGACAUCAAGUAUACGGGGGUGUGUUGAGCAGAACAUGCUGUGCCAGAAAGACAGAUGAAAAAACAGAGAAAGAAACGCGUUUGUUCCUGACGAAAAUUCAGAUGACCGAUGACGAUCUACAUGGCCGGGUUUGCGUGUCCACUGCCACAGAGAUGCAGUCUUGUUUUUCCUUUUUGUGAUCACUGCUUCCUUGGUAUCGUGAAGAGGGGAGGAGAGUGAGUCUUCCACGUCGUCUCAGUCACGGCCGCCAUCUUGAUGAAGCGAUCGUUUGCAUCCAAGAAGAAAUUGAAAUUUCAAAGUGUUUGAACUUAUGAAACUGUUUUUUUUUCAGCUUCUGCUAAAGUGCCUCUGUGGAAUCACAUCUAGGUAUUCUUUUCUCAAUAGUUUCAAAGAAGUUGGAAACUUGAAUUAUCAUCUUCUUUCCAUGGAAACGAUUUUUUCCAUCAGAAAGUCAUUGUUCAUCUCACAAACUCAUGUGGGAUCUUUUUGACGCCAAAUUGUAAUUAUUUGUACACCUCGAAAAUACAUAUUUAUACUGUUUCAGAUUCGUUAUUUAUAUAAAUACAUAUUUGUACA